AGUUAUAUGUCCAACACUUUAUAUUUUGGCUGCCACAUCAUUGCCAUGCAUGUUCGUUCUGAAAUAUCUGGGGAGAGAUACAAAAAAAAGGCAGUUAAUGAAUGCAAUAUUUUAAAAGAAAUCCGAAUGAAUCUCUGAUCUGAAUGAAUUCAUUGUGUUUUCAGCGUGACCAGGAGCCAGCUAGUGGCCUUAUGGGAUAGGGGAGAAUAGUCGCGGGUAGACCCACUGAACGGGAAAACUCAAAUCGAAUUUUAAAGGCACGCAAUGCAGAACUAAACAUAAUGCAUAGAGUUCUGAGUCGUCCCCUCACCGCUCGGUGACUCAAUCUAUUAUAUUUCUCGACCAUGCUCAAGCAGAGUUGCAUUGAUCUUGACCCAGUGUUUAACUCAUUCAAAGUCAUGCUCAAAAACGACCGAUUGGAUACGACCUCUUUCCCCCAACCUUUACCAGAAACACCCAUUUGAUGUUUUGUAAGAUUAAAAAUUGUGGCGAGCAGCAAGGGAAGGAUGGGACGGGAGCCCAGGUUUAGCAGUUGAAUACAGUAGCCCCCCCACACACACACACACACACGCGUGUGUGGUAAAAUAAUAGUAAGAAACUGUGUGAAACAACAUCAUUACACCAACAUGAGAAAUACUAGGCCUAUGUCAAAAUUCGAUGAACAAAACACAAAACGUCUCUCAAACGUAAUUUCCAGCAAUGUGUUCUAACCUAAUCAGGUUAGGAUUACAAGACACAAAAUUCGGUCCCUCAGCACGCUGCUUGGGGAAUUAAAACCACCAAGGAAAGGGAUUAAUUAAAUAUCCUUUUAAAAUUGUGUGAACAAAAUCCAUUAUUAAUUCACUUAUUUAACCAGCUUUAAAUGCAUUGCUUAAUAAACCGUUGCAACCACUUUUGGACCUUUGCUCCAGUCCGGUCAUUCCCCAAGCAGUGCACAGCAGGCCAUGGGGUGAGAUACGCACACAUGGCCUCCCCACUGCGGCGCAGCCCGGUUCUUCGCUGGAUUCCAGCUUCCCUCCUUCCAGGACUUCUACAGUAGAUGGUGUGCCAGUGGAGCCAGCAGGAUUAUCAAUGACCCCAGCACCCGGAAUCAUGGACCGCCUCUGCUGCUGCACUUUGGCACGAGGUGUACACGGACUGUGUGAACCAGCAAUUACAAAAUAAGCCCGAUGCACCAAUAUUCGUCUUGGGUGUCUUCAGCCACUGCAACCUAAACAGCGCGCUUCCUGGUUUUC